UUCUUAUUCCAGAUUAAAACUUCUCAUGGCGAAGUUUGUGAAGGUCAUGUGUUCACCAGUCUGGACCGAAACUACAUGCAGGGCUCUUCAAAAGUGACAUUGCACCCUGCGUUCACGCAUGCCCCCCUUUAUGCCAAGUCCUCCACCUUUACAAAUAAGAUAAGAGCGUAGCUGCAGAGUUCUCCUGGCACUAUGUUCAAAUCAUCCGUUACGGGCAAAAUGGAAGACACGGCAGAAAAAGAGAAGCCUUUAGAUGACACUAACAAGCCUGAUGAUCAAGGUGGUAUCCAUCGCCGCCUGAGGGACAGAGAAGUGCUGAGGAAGAGGAAGGCUGAGGCGGAGGAGAAGGCAACUAACCAGUGGGUUUAUGGGGCCGAGAGCAGGAGGAAGAGGGGACGACAAGACAUAAAGACCAGCACAGGCAAGAAAGGAAGGCCCAGAAAAAGUACAGUGACUCUGGAAGCCCAGAUACCACAGGAGGAGGGCGGCCAUGAGCUCCUUACAGAAGUGCCUUCAUUCUCUGUGGCUGAAGUGUUGCCACAACCCUCUGUCCCUGAGGGGGUCUCCAAGCCUGCUGAGACCCAGCUGAUUUCAGCUUCUUUCCCAAUUCCCGUUGCCAUUCCAGCUCCAGUUCCACAGCUGGUCUCAGACCCAACCCAGAUACUGUCUCCAGUGGUGUGCCUGAGUAGUGGGCCUCCAGAAGAUGUCCUGGUUGAAGAUUUGGGGCCUGACGAGGAGGAGGAUAUUCCAGGGCCUCACGGGAAUUUGGUCAUUGAUCAAGGUAAUCAUACAAAUGUCUUGUCUCAGUGACACCUCUGGCCGUAUUGAGAAUUAGAGCUCCAGUGAAGGUAC
rnacentral:lncRNA from 1 species